GUGAGUGCAGGGUAAGGGAGGCUCAGCAAGUGCCAGCAGCUUAGGAGCUGCUCACCCGCCUCCUCUACUCGCAGGUGCUUAUUGGGGAUGAGCCAGAGGUUGGCAUGGAAAACCUGCUGGAGGUGCAGGUACCUGAAGAUGUGGAACGACAGCUCCAAGAGCUAGACCAGCAAGAACAGCAAGAGCUUGCUCAAGAGCGAAGAGACAAGGGUGCCCCACGGACCUGAAGCCCCUUUGGCCCACCUUUGCCAGGGUUCCCACAGGGUUCUAGGGUAAAUGCCCAGUAAGUGUUGAGAAGCUCGAGGAUAAUACAGCCCAAUCCCGUGCCCUGUUGCAACCAGCACUAAUGUGUGCUGUUCAGAGCUGCACUCUGGAGGUGGAGCCAGCCAGGUCCUGUAUCACAGCUGCCUACAGAUGAGGCAGGAUGCCCAUCGUCACUGGAACUAUGAGGAGCCUGUUCCCAGACUGAUAGGACUGGACUGAAAACACUGCGAGCCCUGGGAAGCCAACUAGUUUUUCAUUCCUGCAGGCACUGAAGGGUCUAGACGUGGUUAGGCUUAGAGAUAUAAACAGUGCUGUGAGCAGUCCUUUGG
rnacentral:lncRNA from 1 species